GGGAUGGCUGAGUGGUUAAGGCAUUGGAGUUGAAAUUCUAUGGGGUCUCCUGGUGUAGGUUUGAACCCUGCUCCC
rnacentral:tRNA from 1 species